UCGGGCGUUCCCCUUCGGGGGACAGGGUGACAGGUGGUGCGUGGUUGUCGUCAGCUCGUGUCGUGAGAUGUUGGUUAAGUCCCGCAACGAGCGCAACCCUCGACCUUAGUUGCCAGCAUUCAGUUGGGCACUCUAAGGUGACUGCCGGCUAAAAGUCGGAGGAAGGUGGGGAUGACGUCAAAUCAUCAUGCCCCUUAUGACCUGGGCUACACACGUGCUACAAUGGGCGGUACAAAGGGUCGCGAACCCGCGAGGGGGAGCCAAUCCCAAAAAGCCGCUCUCAGUUCGGAUUGCAGGCUGCAACUCGCCUGCAUGAAGCCGGAAUCGCUAGUAAUCGCGGAUCAGCAUGCCGCGGUGAAUACGUUCCCGGGCCUU
rnacentral:rRNA from 1 species